CCAGAGACCAACCCCAUAAAGUUUUUAGUUUUCUUAUAUGUUUGUCUGAGUAGCUAGCACACAGGCACAAAGGGCCUGACAACUGGACUGUCUUUUGUUUGUCAAUAUCUGAACCAGUCAGACCUCCCUAACAAGGAGGUCUGAGCUCUAACACUGCUCCUUCACUCACAGAGCGGGUGGUAGUAGCAGUAAUCUGCAAAUCCAGGAAGCAUCAUGACUUGUGAUAUGUGUAUCAGCAGGUCAAAUAGAGUACAGCUGUGCACUGAUUACCUGAAGGGCAUCACAUGAUGGAGACAAAACUAGCCUUUUGUCACAGAUGGAUUGGUGAAGACUCUUUGGGCCAGGGACAGUCUAUCUGUUGUGUGCUUGAACUGCUAGGUGAC